GAUGAACGCUGGCGGCGUGCCUAAUACAUGCAAGUCGAGCGAACAGACGAGGAGCUUGCUCCUCUGACGUUAGCGGCGGACGGGUGAGUAACACGUGGAUAACCUACCUAUAAGACUGGGAUAACUUCGGGAAACCGGAGCUAAUACCGGAUAACAUGUUGAACCGCAUGGUUCAACAGUGAAAGACGGUCUUGCUGUCACUUAUAGAUGGAUCCGCGCCGCAUUAGCUAGUUGGGAAGUUAAGGGUUUACCAAGGCAACGAUGCGUAGCCGACCUGAGAGGGGGAUCGGCAACACUGGAACUGAGACACGGUCCAGACUCCUACGGGAGGCAGCAGUAGGGAAUCUUCCGCAAUGGGCGAAAGCCUGACGGAGCAACGCCGCGUGAGUGAAGAAGGUCUUCGGAUCGUAAAACUCUGUUAUUAGGGAAGAACAAAUGUGUAAGUAACUAUGCACGUCUUGACGGUACCUAAUCAGAAAGCCACGGCUAACUACGUG
rnacentral:rRNA from 1 species